UCUAAAUCUGCAAUCUUCUAUUCAUGUAAAAAUAUUCGUCAUUGCAUAAUUUGAAGAACAAACUAUUUGAAGAAGCUUCGAGUAAUUCGAUUUGUAAAAAAAAAAAAAAGUAAUUAAAAGGAGAUGUUAUCAAUUUCUGUAACAAUAUUCAUUAUCGCAGAAAGUCAUUCAUGACCUUUGUGAUAGAAAGUGAACAAACAAGAAUUACAAACAAGAAUUGUUAAUUAUAUGAAAAAGGAAAAAAAUUCAGACGUAGUAUUUAUUCCAUCUUGUUAUUUAAUCGAAACAGUCGAGUCUUUAAUAUCAUAAUGUAAUAACAUCGAUAAUCAGAUAACAAGAUUCAAGUGUUUUAUCGAGAAAAAUGAUUUAAUUUUUUGUUGUAAUGCUUAUUGACAAAACUUAAAAAAACUUAAAAAAUCGUUGAUUAAAAAUCUUUAUAUCUUUUAUCCUCUGAAAUCAAUUGAGAUUGGAAUUAAAAAUAACAUAGAAAGAUAACAGUGAAUACAUCAAUAAAUAUUGAAAAUUUUGUCGAAUAUGCUUGCAUAAAAAUUAAAAAUAAUAUCAAAUAGAAGAAACAAAACAAAAAUUAUGGAACAAAAAGUUAAGAAAUAUAUUUUAGUUGAAUAUAAUCAUUUUUACACAAAAAUAGCAAUAAUUUGUAAUUUUCAUGCAAAUAAUAAGAUGUAAAUAAGAUGGUUUUAUAUAUUAUAAAUUAUAAAUUAUAUAUUAUAUUUAUAAAUUAGAUAACCUUUGAAUUUGAUGAUAACAUUUAUUUUUCAUUGAUUUGAUUAAUCGAAUACAAAAUUCCGUAUUCCUGAUUUAUUGAAAUUUUAUUGAUGAUAUUUAAUUGAUGCCAAUUAAUGAUUAAUUCUCAAUUAAAUUCAAAUCUGGGAAUCUUGAUUAUUUAAUUACAUUCAUAUUUUUUCCUGUAAGAAAUGUCUUAAUUAAUUUAGAAGAAUAUUUUAAAGCAUUGUUUCAUUUGCAUAUAGCAAUAUAUAAAUUUAUAUAAUGCGAUGAUACACAAAAAAUAAAUUUAUCCUAUUUUGUUUUGAGAAAAAAGUAAGAAACACAUUAAUGUUAGAUUGUUAUUGAAUAAAUGAAGAUGACAAUAAAAUUCAAUUUAUUAAAAAAUGAUUUCUGACUUAAUAUAAAAAUAAAAAUAAAAAUUAUAAAAUGUUAAGAAUACAGAUUCAAUCUUAUGUUUUAUUAAUCGAAUGAAUGUUACAAAUAUCAUGGAAUCAUGAAAGAAAUUAUUCAAUAUUCUCAAUAUUAUUGAAUAAAAAUUACAGACAUUUACAUAUUUUUUUUAAAAAAAUGAUUACAUUAUUUGAUUAAAAUAUGUUUUAAAGAAUUAACUUUUAUCUUACAGCUUUUAUUUCAUUUUUUCGAUUCAAUAUUAUCUAGUCUUUAUGAAAUCGUAUUCGAAAAAAUGUUUAAUAUUUAUUGAUAUAUAGAUUGUUAUCUUUCUAUUUUAUUUUUCUUAAUCUCGAUUUAUUAAUCUCAGAAAAAUAUGAAGAAACUCGAAUAGUUUCUUAAAUAAUAGUUUUUUAACUUUUGUAUAUCUUUGUACAAUUAUCACGUGCAUGAAUUUGUUUUCACGUUAAGUCUCGUGUCGGAGAAGUUCCAAGUCUUACAUCAACUAAAUAUCAUUUUGGCAAAUUUCUGAAUUCAGAUUUCUAGAAAAUCUGUAACAUUUUAUUAUCUAACAAAAUGAUUGUCUAAUAUCUUAUAAUGAUUGUUCGAACAAAGUAAAAAACAAAUCAAAAGGUACAAAAAAAUAAUUAUAUUUUCUUUGAUUUAGAGAAGAAUGAAAACAAUUUUUAUCCAUAUUAAAGGGGAAAUAAACGCGUUUAAAUAUUUUUAGAAUUGGUUUUAUUUUAUUUUUUUCAUUAUUCAUGGGACACUUUUGAAUCUAUUUUAAACAUCAAAAUAAAUAGUUGUUAUAUAAAAAUAUUGAUUGAAGCUUAUUUAUUAAAUUAUAAUCAAAUGAAUUUGCGUUACACGAAGCAAAAUGGAAAUAAAUUAAAAUUAUUCUGUCUCUGUUUUAUGUAUUCUCUUUCUGCUUUAUUUCUUCUAAAGCAAAUUCAAAUUGCUCAUAUAUAAUUCAUAAUAAAUAACUCUCAACUGAUAUUUUUGUAUAUCAAUUUUUAUGUUUUCUGGACACGAUUUUUCAAGAAUAUACGAAUUAUAAUCAUUAUAAUAUAUACAUAUAUUUCAUAUACAUGCAAAGAGUUCUAAAUAAAAGCCAUAGCCAGAUUCGCGAAUAUUUCUUAAACUUUGCCCAAAAUUUGACGUUUCACGGGAACACAAGGAAAUGCACUUUGGCUACAGGUGACGAGUUUAAAAUUAAAGCUGAGACGGACCUUCCAAGUCUUAUAUUUAGGACGACGCGCAGGCGCGAUCCUAUUAGAAAUCCCGUGGAAGACUUAGAACUUCUGAUUCCUUGGAAUCCACCAAGUAUCGCAAUUUUCACGAAUCACCGAGCAAAUAUUCUUUCUUCCCUUUUCAUAUCGGUGUGUUAUUCUUUCGGUGCAAAGUUCGAUUCGCGCUCGGUUUAAAUCGAAAGUUCAUCCGAUAGAUCGCCUUGUCAAAGUACGCCUCGUGAUAACAAUUUUUCCCAAAAAAAUCAUCAUCCUGUUACGAGUUAGUUAUAAAAAAAUAACAAGAUGGAUCUCGGGGGUGUCGAUGUGUGGGGUCAAAUUGCCGUGGAAACGUCUCAGAUGUUUGUGUCUGAGGGCGGCGUGGUUAAAAGUCGUUUCGCUGGAACAACGAUAGAAAAACUUCCGGAUAAGGUGUUGCUGAAUAUCUUCAGUUACCUAUCUCAUCGCGAGAUAUGCAGAGUAGCACGUGUGUGCAAGAGAUGGCGGCAAAUUGCUUACGACACGCGAUUAUGGAAACACGUAUCUCUACGACCGGAAAUUAGUGGAUUGCACGUGAACUCGUUGGAUUAUCUACUUCACUUAAUCAGCACACGUUUUGGAGCUUCGUUGAGGUACAUUGAACUGCCGAUCGAAUUGAUCACGCACACGGUUCUUCAUGAACUGGCAAACAAAUGUCCUAAUUUAACUCACAUGCUCCUCGACUUUUCCACUGCCAUGCAAUUGCACGAUUUUUCAGAAAUGCAAGCCUUCCCAACCAAGCUGAAGUACAUGUGCAUCUGCUUGUCAGAGGUAAUCUUCAUGGAGGGUUUUAUGAGAAAGAUUUAUAACUUUAUCAAUGGUUUGGAGAUUCUUCAUCUUAUAGGAACGUACGAGAAAGUGGAAGAGGAAGAGGAAGAAAUUUACGAGGUGAUAAACGUGCACAAAUUAAAAUCGGCAACUCCCAAUUUGCGAGUGAUUAAUUUAUAUGGGAUCAACUUCGUAGAUGAUUCGCACAUCGAUGCAUUUUCUUCCAAUUGCAUUCAACUCGAAUGUUUAGCCGUGAAUUUUUGCGCCAAAGUCACUGGCUCGACUAUGAAGACUCUAUUCCAAAGAAGUAGAAGAUUGAAAUGUCUUCUCAUGCAAGGAACAAAUCUCCAGAGUGAAUACGUGAUGCAAGUAGAAUGGGAAAAGUCGAGUAUCCAGGAACUUGAUGUGACUGCAACGGAUUUGUCAACGGAAUGUCUGAUCGACAUGUUAACCAGAAUACCAGGCCUUCGUUUCUUGAGCGCAGGUCAGUUGAACGGCUUCAACGAUAGCGUGUUAAAAGCCUGGGCCGAGGCUGGAAAUCCUCGAAACCUGAUCGCUCUGGAGUUGGAUAGUUCCGAUAAUCUGACCGAUGAUGCUCUACAUAAAUUUUUAUCAAGAUACGGUCAUCAACUCUGGGGACUCUCCUUAUCCGGCAUGCCUCACAUCACCGAUCAACUAUGGCAAAGCGUAUUACCUAUAUUGACCAAUGCCAAAAUUCUCGUAAUGGGAACGGUAGAAAGGUUAGGCGUGAAUAUUCAUGUGGACCAAUUGAUGGACGGAAUUGCUAACAAUUGCCCAAAUUUAGAGAGGUUAGAACUUCGUUGGGAUCCAGAGAAUCUCCGAUUCUCCGACAAAAGUCAGAAAGCUAUAGAUAUACUACGUGUAAAAUGUAUUAAAUUACGGUGUUUAAGCUUAAGCGAUGGAAGAUACUAUGAAAUAGUUAAGGCUAAUUUCGAACGAGCUGACAGAUUGACGGUUGUUCGCACAACAACGUGUUGCCGCGUGUCUAAUUACUACCUCUUAGCCAAUUAUAAGGAUUUAAUUUUUAAUUAAUUUUUAUAAUAUAUAUAUUUAUAAUACGAUGAUGUGAUUCAUAACUUUUCCAAAAGAUCGAAUUAUCGAAACGAAUAUCGAAAAGUUAAUGAACCAUGACAACUAUGAAAUGGAACAAAUUAUCUUCGAUUACUUGAUUACUUAUAUACCUGGUAUUACUGUAAGAAAUCAUGCGCUAAAUAACAGAUAUAUUUUUUUAUAUUAUUUUCAAGCGUGUAAUACAUGAGUAAAUAAGUUUAUUUUGAAUCUUAAAA